rnacentral:tRNA from 1 species
AACUAAUGAACUUGAAUAAGUAUGUAUUUUGAAAAUACAUGAAAGAAAAUAAAAUUUUCUAUUAGUUU